UACGGAGGGAGCGAGCGUUGUCCGGAAUCACUGGGCGUAAAGGGCGCGUAGGCGGUCCGGUAAGCGUGUGGUGAAAGCCCGGGGCUCAACCCCGGGUCGGCCGUGCGAACUGCGGGACUGGAGCACUGUAGAGGCAGGCGGAAUUCCGGGUGUAGCGGUGGAAUGCGUAGAGAUCCGGAAGAACACCGGUGGCGAAGGCGGCCUGCUGGGCAGUAGCUGACGCUGAGGCGCGACAGCGUGGGGAGCAAACAGG
rnacentral:rRNA from 1 species